rnacentral:misc_RNA from 1 species
UGUUUUUCUCUCUUUUUCAAUUUGUUGCUGCAAAUUUCUUAAGAGUUUGAGUCUUGACAUCAAACAACGCGCUAUGACUCUCUGCAACAAAUUUCUUAAGAGUUGAGUCUUGACAUCAAACAACACGCUAUGACUCUCUGCUUCCACCUCAGGCUCAGCAUCUGCCUUUUAAGUUUUCUUGUUACUCUCUGUGUUUCGAAAACACACUGGUUCAGUUCUUCACCUGGCAUCUUCUCUCCCACGCAAUGCUUCACCCAUUCUUUUCUCUGUCACUCCUGUGUCUCCUUUUUUCUACUACCAUAGCAGAUGACUCCAUCGCCAUGUCAAAGCUAGCAACUGCCCUCGACCCUGUCCCCCAGAGCUGGGCCACCGAUAACAACGCUGAAUACUGCAAAUGGAAUGGGGUCCGAUGCGACGCCUCCAACCGCGUCGUAGAAAUCAUGCUUUCCAAUGAAAACCUCUAUGGCACUCUCCCAUCUGAACUCUCUACCCUCUCGCACCUCCAAAUACUCUAUCUCCAGCAGAACCAUCUUUCCGGUCCUCUCCCUUCUCUCGCCAAUCUAAGCUUGCUCCAAGAACUACGUCUUGAAGAUAACAGCUUUAGUUUUAUCCCUCAAGGCUUCUUUCAAGGACUUCCCAGCUUGACUGACUUUCGCAUAAGCCAGAAUACAAAUUUAGAUCCUUGGACUAUCCCUGUUCAUAUUGCUGAAUCUGGAGGUCUAAUAAUUUUCGAGGCAACUCAUGCUAACAUUGAGGGGACUAUACCUGACAUGUUUGCCUCGCUUCCAGGAUUGCAGAAUCUGGACCUAGCUUACAACAAUUUGACAGGAACUUUGCCUGCAUCAUUUGCAAAUUCAGCAAUCCAGAACUUGAGACUCAACUACCAGCAGAUGGGGUUGUCAGGUACCAUUGAUGUUCUAUCGUCGAUGACACAGUUAAAUCAGGUUUGGCUCAUGGGGAAUCAGUUUACUGGCUCAAUUCCAGAUUUCUCAAAAUGCGAGUUUUUGUUCGAUUUACAGCUAAGAGAAAACAAGUUUACAGGGAUUGUGCCAGCCUCCUUGAUAACACUUCCUCGUUUGCUAAAUGUUUCUUUAUCAAACAACAAACUGCAAGGUCCUGUCCCCAAGUUUCCAAGCCAUAUUUCGUUACAUAGCGAUGCUAAUAAUUUUUGUGUGGCAACUCCUGGUGUUCCUUGUAAUCCACAGGUGAAAACAAUGCUGGAAAUUGCAGGUGCUGUGGGAUAUCAGGAGAUACUGUCCGAUUCUUGGCGAGGAAAUGACCCUUGCAGUAAUUGGGAAUUCGUUACCUGCGAGGAACAGAAUAUUAGCACCAUCAACUUUGGAAAGCAACAUUUUUCAGGAACUAUAUCUCCAGCAUUUGUCAAUCUUACAGCUUUGACGAAUUUGUAUCUGAACGAUAAUAAUUUGACAGGUUCCAUUCCUGAUAGCUUGACAAAAUUGACUCAACUCAAGGUUCUUGAUGUCUCCAAUAACAAUCUUUAUGGGAAAAUCCCAGCCUUUUCAUCUUCAGUGAAGUUGAUUGCAAGGCCAGGGAAUCCCUCCCUUGGGAUAGACACAGGUUCAGGUGGGAAUUCUACUGGAAAAGGAAGUAGAGGUAAUUGGGGGCCAGGGAAUCCCUCCCUUGGGAUAGACACAGGUUCAGGUGGGAAUUCUACUGGAAAAGGAAGUAGAGGUAAUUGGGUAUUGCCAUCUGUAAUUUCUGGUGCUUUUAUUGCUGUUAUCUCCUUCAUUGCUUUUGGUUUGUUGGUGCUGUUCAAGUAUAAUGGGGUGUCAAGGAAAGUGAACCAUCAGGAGAAUAUGACUGCACAAGCCAAGCAAAAGAAUUGUCAUGUUAUUGGGGGACAUGCUGAUUUUUCGAUGCAACUUAUUCGACAAGUGACCGAUAAUUUUAGUGAGAACAAUAUUUUGGGUAAGGGAGGUUUUGGUGUGGUUUAUAAAGGUGAAUUGCACGAAGGAACUAAAAUUGCUGUGAAGAGAAUGAAAGCUCCAACAAUGGCUAACACGAAAGGAAUGAAUGAGUUUCAAGCUGAGAUAGCAGUGCUUUCAAAAGUAAGGCACAGGCACUUGGUUUCUCUUUUGGGUUACUGUGUACAUGGCAUUGAGGGUUUCUUGGUCUAUGAGUACAUGCCUCGGGGGACUCUGGCACAACAUUUGUUUGAAUGGCGUGAACGCGGAUACCCUCCUCUUACCUGGAAGCAGAGGGUCAGCAUUGCACUGGAUGUGGCGCGAGGAGUGGAAUACCUGCACAGUUUAGCUCAACAGAGUCUAAGUUUCAUUCAUAGAGAUCUGAAGCCUUCAAAUAUACUUCUUGGGGAUGAUAUGAGGGCUAAGGUCUCUGACUUCGGUUUGGUUAAAAAUGCAUCAGAUGGAAAGAAUUCUUUGGAGACAAGAGUGGCAGGAACAUUUGGCUAUCUUGCACCUGAAUAUGCUAGUAAGCGAAGGCUUAAAUAUUUUCAAGAUGCUGAAUUCUCUUCCUUUAUCCUUAUAUGCUUCUCCAUUCCAGUCUCUAUAAAAAAUUUUCUUGUGGCCUGCAAAAAUUUUGAAUUAUGUUGCAGUAACGAAGUUUUCAGUUUUCUUUGUUCUAAUAUGAAAUUAUUUACUGGACAGAAACUGGAAAAGUGACAAGGAAGGUGGAUGUUUAUGCAUUUGGAGCAAUUUUGAUGGAGAUGAUUACAGGUAGAAAAGCAAUAGAUGAUACAAUGGAAGAGGAAGGGUGGAUGCAUAUGCAUUUGGUGACAUGGUUCCGCGAGGUCCUGAUAAACAAGGAGAACAUCUCAAAUGCAAUUGACCAAGCCAUCAAUCCAGACGAGGAGACCUUAGGGAGCAUUUGCGUAGUGGCUGAAUUAGCAGGGCAUUGCACCACCCCUAACCGCGACCAAAGACCAGACAUGGGCCAUGCAGUCUAUGUCUUGGCACCUCUUGUAGAACCGUGGAAACCUACCAGCCAGGAAGAAGAGGAUCAACACACUUUUGAAGUUCCACAAUAUAUCUCUUGAACUUGGAAAACAACAUAUAGGAGUGUAGUACACUUAUGCUAAUGCUAUUCAGGCAUUAACUAAAACUUACAGGAUAACAUUUAAUUCUUAGUUUUUUAACUUUUUAUUAAACAUAUUUUAAUCUAAGGCAGAAGAAACAAAAUGGAUUGAAACUUGAAAACAUUUCAG